rnacentral:rRNA from 1 species
UGGGGAAUAUUGGACAAUGGGCGAAAGCCUGAUCCAGCCAUGCCGCGUGAGUGAAGAAGGCCUUCGGGUUGUAAAGCUCUUUUAGUCGGAAAGAAAAGAUCAUAAUGAACAAUUAUGAUUCAUGACGGUACCGACAGAAAAAGCACCGGCUAACUACGUGCCAGCAGCCGCGGUAAUACGUAGGGUGCGAGCGUUAAUCGGAAUUACUGGGCGUAAAGGGUGCGCAGGCGGUUUUGUAAGUCAGAUGUGAAAUCCCCGGGCUUAACCUGGGAAUUGCGUUUGAAACUGCAAGACUAGAGUGCAGCAGAGGGGAGUGGAAUUCCAUGUGUAGCAGUGAAAUGCGUAGAGAUGUGGAAGAACACCGAUGGCGAAGGCAGCUCCCUGGGUUGACACUGACGCUCAUGCACGAAAGCGUGGGGAGCAAACA